AAGAAUCAAAACACAUACUUUGUUUCAUUGUUGGUCUGGUUCUUUUUUCUUCAAGUAAAGAAUGAAACUUUUUGUGCGUUUGGUUUGAGGGAAGGAAAUGAGAAAGGAAGAAAAAGAAUGAAUCAAUGUUGGGUCGUCUUCAAUCUUCUGCGUUUGGGUCCUUCAACGAUCUCAAAGAUAAACUCUUUCUCGUUUUCAACGGUAAUGUUUUUCCAAUUCUUCAUUAUUCAUUCAAUCUUCUGCUUGUUUGAAGAAAACAAAACAACAAAAGAACGUUAAUUGAGCAAAGAUGUCCUUUCCCAAGACCCUGUUUGGUAGUACUUAUAUACCCAUUUUUUCAUUUUUGAUUAUUCAAAAACAUUCAAUCUUCUGCUUAAAGAAAGGUACAAUCUUUUACCCAUUUUUCUCAUUUGUUGAAUAUUCAAGAACAUUCAAUCUAGUGCUUGAGAAUAAAGUUUGAAUCUUUUACCCAUUUUUCUCAUUCUUGAAUAUUCAAGAACAUUCAAUCUUCUGCUUGAGAAAAAAGUUAGAUUUUUACUAUUUUUCUCAUUCUUGAAUUUUUCUCUGCUUUCUGGCUCAGAAGUAAAAAUAAAAAACCUUAAAUUGAGCAACUGUGUGCUAUGUCGCUGAGACUCUAUUCGGCAUCAAUGUUUUGAAAUCAUAUGAUUAAGGGAUGGUAUCUAAUGUCGGCCGAGAUGGAAUAUUUUUAUGACCCUAAUAGUGAAAUUGUCGCUGAGAUGAAAUAUUUUUAUGACCCUAAUUGUGAAAUUGUCGCUGCCAUGGAAUAUUAUUCAUGACCCUAAUAGUGCAAUUGUCGCUGAGAUGAAAUUGUCAUCAUAUGAUUAUAGGAUGACAUCUAAUGUCGCUGAAAUGGAAUAUUUUUAAUACCCUAAUAGUGAAAUUGUCGCUGCGAUGGAAUAUUAUUCAUGACCCUAAUAGUGAAAUUGUCACUGAGAUGAAAUUGUAAUCAUAUGAUUAUGGGAUGGUAUCUAAUGUCGCUGAGAUGAAUAUUUUAAUGACCCUAAUAGUGAAAUUGUCGCUGAGAUGAAAUUGUAAUCAUAUGAUUACAGGAUGGUAUCUAAUGUCACUGAGAUGGAAUAUUUUUAUGACCCUAAUAGUGAAAUUGUCGCUGAGAUGAAAUAUUUUUAUGACCCUAAUAGUGAAAUUGUCGCUGCGAUGGAAUAUUUUUCAUGACCCUAAUAGUGCAAUUGUUGCUGAGAUGAAAUUGUCAUCAUAUGAUUAUAGGAUGGUAUCUAAUGUCGCUGAAAUGGAAUAUUUUUAAUACCCUAUAGUGAAAUUGUCGCUGAGAUGAGAUAUUUUUAUGACCCUAAUAGUGAAAUUGUCACUGAGAUGAAAUUGUAAUCAUAUGAUUACAGGAUGGAAUCUAAUGUCACUGAGAUGGAAUAUUUUUAUGACCCUAAUAGUGAAAUUGUCGCUGAGAUGAAAUAUUUUUAUGACCUUAAUAGUGAAAUUGUCGCUGAGAUGGAAUAUUUUUCAUGACCCUAAUAGUGUGGUAUACAUGAGCCCAAAAACGUUGGAUGAUGCCUUAAUGCGAAAGUUAGUUGUUGCCUAAAAUGCAAUUUUAAUAUGAAAUUUUAUUCAUAAUUUAAGGCUUGGACGUUAUCUAUUGUGCUUUGAUGACCUUAGUCCCUAAAUGCAAUUUUGCAAAUGCAAAAUGGAUUGUGACUUUUGUUGGAUUACCCUACUGGUAAGGGUUUCAAAGGAAUUCUCCAAGGAAGGAACAAGUCAGGUGAAGCAAAGUACAAAGAAACCAACUCUUUGGAAUCUGAACUAUUUCUAAUAGUUUCUGUCUGGUAUAUAUUGCAUUAUGCCAUUAUGCAGACCAACUUUUUUGAUGCUUGCAUUGUGAUCAAUGGAUGAAAGAAACCAUAAUGAGGUUGUAUCGGUCCAUAUUUUGACUGCAGACUUUUUAUGAAAAUUCGAUAAAAUUUGGUGGGUGCUGGUAUAAGAAUUAGAUAGCACUAGAUUUGUGUUGAUAAUUAUAAAUGCAAGUCUUUGAUUUAGUAAUUGAAUACAUGUGAUCUCUUAUAAGUGCGGUACAAAAAUUGCAAUUGAUGAACCGAAUCACUUGAUCAUGUAGGCAGCACAACCUCUUGGUUAUGUAGCAUAUACACUUGUUGCGAUGACCCAUGACAGUUCUUUUAGAAAAUUAUGUAGUUGGCGUUUCUUAUAUAUUAUUAAAAUUAAAAUAUUGUUGCAAUUCAGUCUAGUAUGAACUUUGGCUUAUGGUAGAUAUAUCAGGUGUUUUUUGGAAUCUUCUUAAAUUUGCCUGAGGUUACUUUGCUAGAUUUUGGCACAUCAUAUGAAAGUUCUUGCAAUUGUUUUGUAGUUAUUGCAUAAUUACUGGAAAAUCUCACAUUCUUUUAUGCGCUUGGGUUUUGGAUGUCACAUAUGUGCUUUUUUUUUUGUUGUCUGAUUCCAUGUCUCAAGUUUACGAUAGAGUUGUAUGCUGAUUCUUUUAAAUCACUGUGUGAAGAUUUUCUGCAUAGCUUGAUCAUGAGAAUGUGAGAGUAGUAGUGUACUAUGUUUUCAGUUUCCCCUUUUGAUUAUUUCUGCAUAGCUUGAAUGUAUAAUGUGUUAUGAGCAUAGACUCACUGUGCACCUAUCUGUGACUGUGUCUUUGAGCUCGUGCUGAGCCUAUCACUAGUGAAAGUGAAAACUGUGUGCUGUGCUAACAGUAUUUGCUUCGUCUGGUUUAUAAUCGAUACCUAUUGGGAACAAUGAUGGGCUGCCGAUUUUCUCAUUCUUGAUUAAUCUUGAAUCUAGGUCUUUCAAUGUUCUACUUUGAAAAAAAGUGAACCUUCAAUUUUGUAAAUCAAAAUUUAACACGGUAUACAAACCUUACAAGACUGAAUCAUUGUGAGAUGGUAUGUUUUUUUAUUAUUUGAAAAAGGGGUAGAGUAUAUGGCCCCAGCAACACCAAAUCUGAUCAUUGGAAUCCAUGGAUAUAUUAAGUUUCUUAAAUUUUUUAAGGGAUAGUUGCCUCAUUGUCCUUCGAGUAAUUUGCAUUAUGAACUCUUUAUUCAUAAUAUAAAAUUGUAUUCAUGACCCUGACUGUGAAACUGUCACUGAGGUGAAAUAUUUGUUUCAUUAUCUAUGAAGGAUGGUAUAGUAUACAUGAGCCCACUAACUCCAAAUUGGGCAAUAAGAUGGAUAUACUUUUUGUUCCAUGAUUUUUGUUAGGGUUUGUCUUUAUUGCCCAAAAAUGUUGGAUGAUAACAAUUAGAUAGCACUAGAUUGGUGCUGAUAAUUGUAAAUGCAAGUCUUGGAUUGAUGAACUGAUUAUGUAGUUGGUGUAGCAUAUAAACUUAUGAUGACCUUUCUUUUGGACAAUUUUUAGUACGACAAUUCUUGCAAUUGUACUGUGACUUUAUGGCCAAGCUAGCCACAUAUUAUAUUGUCCAUAUUGUGGAAUCAGCUCUAUAGAUUCAGUUCGUUGGCUCACGUUUCAAGCUUGUUCUUUUAGAGGCCAUGACGAAUCAGAAGGAUCUAAAAAUAGAGGUAAAUUUCUUGAAAUGAUUAAACUCUUAGCAUCAUACAAUGAUGAACUUGCAAAAGUAGUGCUAGAGAAUGCUCCAUAUAAUUCAAAGUAUACUUCUCAUGCAAUUCAAAAGGAACUUUUGCAUAUCAUGUCUAGUAAAGUGAGAAAUAUUUAAGGGAGCAAAGAUUGGGGAUUCUAAAUUUUGCAUAUUUGUUGAUGAAUCACGUGAUGAAUCUUUAAGGGAGCAAAUGGCUAUUAUUUUGAGGUGUGUUGAUAAAAAUGGUUGUAUACAAGAACGGUUUUUUGUCUUGUGCAUGUUAAGGAUAUUGUGGCUAUCACUCUUAAAAACACAGUUUUUGAUGUUCUUUCUCGUCAUGGUCUUGAUGUUUUAGAUAUCCGUGGGCAAGGGUAUGAUGGUGCUCGUAAUAUGAGAGGGGAGUGGAAUGGAUUGCAAGCAUUAUUUCUCAAAGAUUGUCCUUAUGCUUAUUACAUACAUUGUUUCGUGCAUAGAUUACAACUUGCUUUGGUUGCCGCUUCAAAAGAAGUUUUCUCUACAUGAAUUUCUUUUCACACUCUACUUUUAUUGUCAAUGUUGUCUGUUCUUCUAGUAAGCGUCAUGGUGAAUUGCAAGAUGCCAUAUCAGAUGAAAUUUCACAUUUGCUAGAGAAUGGUGAACUUGAUAGUGGUAAAGGAAAAAAUCAGAUUGGCACUUCGAAACGAGCCGGAGAUACUCGUUGGAGCUCACUUUUUUUUUUUCUUUUUCUGUUUGUAGUUUGAUUGGUUCUUAAAGAUAUUAGGAAAAAUGGAUCAAGUUAUGGUACACCUGAGGAUGCUAGUGCUGCUUAUAAAUUUGUGAAAUCAUUUGAGUUCAUAUUGAUUUUACACAUGAUGAAAGAGGUUAUGGGAAUUACAGAUUGUCUUUCUCAAGCUUUACAACAGAAAUAUCAAGAUAUACUUAAUGCUAUGCAGUUAGUUGCCACUACAAAAACAUUAAUUCAGAAAUUGAGAGAUGAUGGUUGGGAUGAUUUAUUGAAAGAUGUAAUAUUAUUUUGUGAAGAACAUGAUAUUGAUUCCCCCAAUUGUAAUGCUGUUUAUAUAGAGCGCGAAGGGCGUGCUCGUCAUCAAAUGGAUCACAUCACAGUGGAUCAGCAAUUGCAGGAAUUGAAUCACAGGUUUUGCACAAACAAUGGAGUUGUUAAGUCUAAGCAAUAGUUUGGUGCCUAAGGAUAUUUACAAAUCAUUUAAUAAGGACAAUAUAUGUGCUCUUUUAAACAAAUUCUAUCCUCUGGAUUUUAGUGAUCAAGUAAAAAUUAAUUUGAGAUAUCUACUUCAACACCAUCAUCUUGAUGUUGUUAGUCAUCCAGAUUUGAAUAGCUUGUCAACUAUGUCUGAAUUGUGUGAAGCUCUAAAAAAAACAGGGAAGUCGGUUACAUAUUACUUGAUUGAUCGGCUAAUCCGCUUUAAUCUUAACUCUUCCGGUUUCUACAACUACUAUAGAAAGAUCAUUUUCCGCAAUGAAGAUAAUCAAAACAAGAUUUCGCAAUAAGAUGGAGGAUGAAUUUCUUGCUGACAAUAUGAUGCUUUAUAUUGAAAAAGAAAUAGCUGAAGAGUUUAGUACUGAUUCAAUUAUCGAUGAAUUCAAGUCUGUAAAAGAAUGAAGGGCAACACUUUAAUUCGAGAUGGAGCAUUUGUAGCAGUCUGGUGUGGGAAUUUUUUAGCAUUCAGCUGGUUUGCUUAUCAUUGGGGGAGACUUUUGCUUUGGACAGGCUAUCAUUGGUGGUUUUGUGCCGGAAAUGCUAUGCAGUUGUAGAUACAGCUAGUAUAUUUGGAGCUUUAGUACUACUAAAUUUGGAUCUUUAGUAGGAUGUGUUUUUAAAUCUAUUAUACAAUAGUAUAUGACUUAUUAAUUUCAAUUUCAAUUAUAAUAUUUUAGUUAGUACUUGUCGCUCCCCCCAAUAUUUUGGGCAAGAUCCACUACUGGUGGAAUGUAUGUUCUAAAGCAAGUUUCAGCCUACAAGUGGUAACACCAGAUAUGAUUGAAAUUCGUAGUAAAAAUCAUACUUAUCAAACUUGUGUGAAUGGGUAGUUGUGUCUAAAUUGUGGGAUAGUAGUCUCAAAGAAUGUGGAUAGAAGAACGCAUAAUAGUCUUAUUCAAAUUUCUGGAUUCCGGGAGACGAUGGACAUGGGUAAAUAUCUGGGGGUACCUCUGAUAGGGCGAUCACCUAAGCUUGCAGACUUUUAGUACCUUAUUGAUCAAGUUUGUUCCAAACUCGUUGCUUGGAAGGCAAAGCAGUUGUCUUUUGCGGGUAGAAUUACACUUGCUAAAUCUGUUAUUGAACUAUUCCGAUGUUUCCGAUGAUGUCUGCAUAAUCCGUUAUUGGAGAACCUUACUGUCACAAAUGUGUGCUACAGGUUGAAGCUAUUCUACAUGUGAUGAGAGAUUUCCCUUUGGCAAUGGUUCUUUGGAUGCAUAUGCCUAUGAAUUUAAGGACCAGUCUUUUAAUAGUAAUUUGCAUCAAUGGAUUGAGCUCAAUCUAAAUUGCAGUACAGAAGUUGACAACAUUAUCAAUUGGAAUGCUUUGUGGUCUUUAGCUUGUCACUAUUUGUGGAUGUGGAGAAAUAGAGUGUCAUGAUGAGAAUAUUUCGAGGCCUCCUGCUCCUUGGUUGCACAUUCGUAAGUUAGCUGAAGAAUAUUGGCAAGCUGCAAAAAAUUCUGCUAUCUUACAUAACAGAAGUAGAGGUCAGGUUCAAGUAUGGUGGAUUCCUCCUUUGACGGUUGGGUCAUACUUAACACUGACGGGGUGAGUAAGUAUAGUGGUAGUGCCGGUUUCGGAGGUCUGAUACACGGAACUGAUGGCAAAUGGCUUGGUGGAUUCUCUAAAAAUAUUGGUUUUGCAAUGCUUUUGUAGCCGAGUUGUGGGGUAUUUUGGAAGGUUUGAGACUGGCGAGAGCUAGAGGAUUCAGUAAUAUUGAGUUGUGUGUUGAUUUGGAAGCAGUUAUUUAUAUAACCAUUUUUUCAUUUUUGAUUAUUCAAAGAACAUUCAAUUUUCUGCUUAAAAAAAGGUACAAUCUUUUACCCAUUUUUCUCAUUUCUUGAAUAUUCUAGAACAUUCAAUCUUCUUCUUGAGAAAAAAAGUUAGAAUCUUUUACCUAUUUUUCUCAUUCUUGAACAUUCAAGAACAUUCAAUCUUCUGCUUGAGAAAAACACACAUUAAUUCUUGCAAAUAUGUGCUAUGUCUGAGACCUUAUUUGGCAUCAAUGUUUUAAAAGUCGAUGUUUUUAGAUACAUGUUGUGAUACUGAUUUUUUUUUUUCAUUCUUGAUAAUUGAAGAACAUUCAAUCUUCUGCAUGAAAAAAAUAACCAUAAUUGAGUAAACAUGUGUCCCAAGACCCUAAAUAUUUUGAACUCUUUAUUCAUAAUGCAAAAGUUGGAUGGAAUCUAUUGUCCUUUUAUGACCCUAAUUGUGAAACUGUCACCGAGAUGAAAUAUUUUUAAUGAAGGGUGGUGUGGUAUACAUGAGUCCACUAUUUCGAGAAUAAGAUGAAUAUGCGUUUUGUUCCAUGAUUUUUGUAGGGAUUGACUUGAUGGCCCAAAACGUUGGAUGAUGCCUUAAUGUGAAAGCUACUUUGUUGCCUAAAAUGUAUUUUUAAUAUGAAAUUUUAUUCAUAAUUUAAGGCUUGGAUGUUAUCUAUUAGUCCCUAAAUGCAUAAAUGUUGGAUGAUGCCAUAUUGCGAAAGCUAGUUGUUGCCUAAAAUGCAAUUUUAAUAUGAAAUUUUAUUCAUUAUUUAUGGCUUGGAUGGUAUCUAUUAGUCCCUAAAUGCGAAAACGAUAGAUGAUGCCUUAAUGCGAAAGCUAGUUGUUGCCUAAAAUGCAAUUUUAAUAUGAAAUUUUAUUCAUAAUUUAAGGUUUGGAUGUUAUCUAUUGUGCUUUGAUGACAUUAGUCCCUAAAUGCGAUUUUGCAAAUGCAAAAUGGAUCGUGACUUGUGUUGAAUUACCCUACUGGUAAGGGUUUCAAUGGAAUUCUCAAAGGAAGGAACAAGUCAACUGAGGCAAAGUACUAAGAAACCAACUUUUUGGAGUCUAAACUAUUAAGUAUCUAUCUGGUACAUAUUGCAUUAUGCAGACCAACUCUUUGUGAUCAAUGGAGGAAACCAUAAUGAGGUUGUAUCUGUCCAUAUUUUUACUGCAGACCUUUUAUGAAAAUUCGAUAAAAUUUGGUGGGUGCUGGUAUAAGAAUCAGGCAGUAUACCCUCUUGGUUAUGUAGCAUAUAAACUUGUUGCGAUGACCGAUGGCAGUUCUUUCAGACAAAAUUAUGUAGUAGACUAUCCUGGUUUACUUAAUCAAUAACUUUAUGUCCGCUGUUGCUAGUCACUGUGGUAAUCUUCAGCUUACUGCUACUAACCUUGGCAGUAGUGGAAUUCAGCUCUUUCCUUAUUGGCCAAAUGGUGGUGUAGCAUAUAAACUUAUGAUGACCUUUCUUUUGGACAAUUUUUAGUACCACAAUCCUUGCAAUUGUACUGUGACUUUAUGGCCAAGCUAAGCAGGCCUUGAAAGAUCGGAACCGGAAUGUCUUUGGUAAUAUGUUGAUGGUAAUAUCCAAUUAGCUCUUGAUGAAGGCAUGCAGAUUCAAUUGCUUGUGUAUGUAAAUGAUGUGACAGCGUAUCUUCAGAACCAAGAUUAUCAUGCUCAACUUGUUCUUACUAAGGCCCUUCUUAGUCAAGACCAAUUUUGGAGAGAAAAGGCUAGAGUUUCUCACUUUCGGAAUAUCUUUUGCGGCAACAACCAGGGAAUUGAUAAUUAAAUUAUUGAGCAUUGCAUUCCGAAUCUUGUUACUUCGGACGAUAAUUCGGCAUUGGUUUGUCUACCAUCUGCUCUAGAGGUUAAAGUUGCGGUCUUUGCUAUGAAUGGAGAUGGGGCUCCAGGUCCGGAUGGUUUCAGUGGUUAUUUUUAUCAGCAUUUUUGGGAUACCAUCUCGAUGGAUGUUAUUGCUUCGGUUCGGAGCUUCUUUUUGACUACCAAGCUUCUCCCUAAUCUUAACUCUAAUUUAUUGAUUCUUAUACCAAAGUGUGUUGGGGCUGACACGAUUGACAACUUCCGUCCUAUUGCGCUCGCCAAUUUUCAAUUUAAAAUCAUUGCUAAAAUUAUGGCAGACAGAUUGUCUUCGAUUGCUUCGCGUAUUAUUUCUAGCAACCAGCGGGGUUUCAUCCCUGACAGGCACAUUCGGAAUGCGUUCUUGUAACAUCUGAAGCAAUCAAUGUGCUUUCUAAGAAGAGUUUUGGGGGCAAUAUCGCAUUAAAGGUAGACAUUAAAAAGGCGUUCGACUCCCUGGAUUGGAAUUUUUUAUUAGGUGUUCUUCGCCAAUUUGGCUUCCAUAGCCAGUUUUGUCGAUGGAUUGAAGAAAUACUCCACUCAGCUAGGCUCUCAAUUCUAAUUAAUGGUCACUAGGUGGGAUUUUUUGAAUGUGCGCGAGGUCUCCGUCAAGCAGACCCUUUAUCUCCGCUUCUUUUUUGUCUUGCUGAAGAGGUUCUGAGCAGGGGUAUUUCUCUAGCGGUAGAAGAGGAGCAACUUAUUCCAAUGUCUAUUUGUCGUGGGGUUCCUCUGCCUACUCAUGUUCUUUAUGCUGAUGAUGUUAUGGAUUUUUGUAAAGCUUCCAAAAAGAACAUCCGCUGUCUCAUUAUAAUUUUCCAGGAUUAUGACGCUUCUGGCCAGCAUGUUAAUCAAAAUAAAAGUAAAGUUCUAUGCAGGAUCUGUCUCCAAUGCAAGAAUGACUAUGAUUUCCUCUCUUCUUCUUUUUCAAGCUGGUAGCAUUCCAUUUACUUACCUGGGCUGUCCCAUUUUCAUUGGCUCGCCUCAGAGGAUUUAUUUCCAGGCUAUUGCUGAAAGAAUUAAAACAAAGCUGGUAUGUGGAAGUGUGUUUUAUUAUCCAUUAUGGGUCGUGUUCAACUGGUUAGAUCCAUCAUUCACGGUAUGCUAAUUUACUCAUUUCAUGUCUAUUCACGGAUCCGUAAUUUUAUUUGGAGUGGUGAUGUCAGUACCCGCAAAAUUUGCACAGUUGCCUGGCGCAAGGUUUGCUUACCAUAUGAGGAGGGUGGGCUGGACUUGCGCUCCCUUAGUGCAAUUAAUUCCUCUUUGAUGUUGCACUCUGGAAAUUCUAUUCUAGCAUGGAUCAAUGGGUGGUUCUUUGUAGAGCCCGUUUCUUAAGACAGGGUUUGCCGAUUCAUUAUUAUAGAUGCUCCUCUAUUUGGCCUGGUAUUCGAGAACAUGUUACCACAGUUCGAAUUAAUUCAAUUUGGUUUAUUGUUGACUGUGAUAGCAUUUCUUACUGGUCUGAUAACUGGUUAGCUCUCCGCUUCGGGAGCUUUUGAAUAUUCCGCCUAGUGCUAUAUUGCAUGCCUGAAAGCUACAGUUGCGACAUUCAUUAACAACGGUGAUUGGGUUGUUCCUUCGUGUAUCACUGAUCAUGAUCUGGCAUUGGCUUUGCGUAUUAAGAACCUCUCUAUUCCUCGGAUUCCUUUGAAAGAUAAGCUAGUUUGGCGUCUGUCGACGGAUGGCGAGCUGACGGCAAAACAAGCUUUCUCCUUCUUGUUCUCGUCCCAAGCAACUUGUGUUGCGCUCCCUUCUUGGCUUUGGACCAAGGUUGUUCCCCCUUCAUGUUCUUUUGUGGUCUGGCGAUGCAUUCAUAACCGCAUGCCAACCGACGAGAUUUUGAUCAAGCGGGGAUGUAUCAUUGUUUCCGGCGGCUCCUUAUGUCGUGGUAAUUUUGAAACUACUAGCCAUCUAUUUCUUCAUUGUAAUUUUGCACAACAAUUAUGGCUUUGGUUGAAGUCUUUAUUACUUUUCUCAUU